rnacentral:rRNA from 1 species
GAUGAACGCUGGCGGCGUGCUUAACACAUGCAAGUCGAACGGGAAUUAUUUUAUUGAAACUUCGGUCGAUUUAAUUUAAUUCUAGUGGCGGACGGGUGAGUAACGCGUGGGUAACCUGCCUUAUACAGGGGGAUAACAGUCAGAAAUGGCUGCUAAUACCGCAUAAGAGCACAGAGCUGCAUGGCUCAGUGUGAAAAACUCCGGUGGUAUAAGAUGGACCCGCGUUGGAUUAGCUGGUUGGUGGGGUAACGGCCCACCAAGGCGACGAUCCAUAGCCGGCCUGAGAGGGUGAACGGCCACAUUGGGACUGAGACACGGCCCAGACUCCUACGGGAGGCAGCAGUGGGGAAUAUUGCACAAUGGGGGAAACCCUGAUGCAGCGACGCCGCGUGAAGGAAGAAGUAUCUCGGUAUGUAAACUUCUAUCAGCAGGGAAGAUAGUGGCGGUACCUGACUAAGAAGCCCCGGCUAACUACGUG